rnacentral:lncRNA from 1 species
GCGACACGUGUCCCGUGAGCCCGGCUGAACGCAGAGGGCCACGGGGAGCUGAAGGCAUCCGCGAGCGGCUCCUGGGAUGUGUUUUUGGCUUGGAUAAAAAGCUGGGAUAAAAGACACUGUUAAGGAAAGCAAAGCGAUGACCAAGCAGGUGAGCACGGCAGCUGGCGUGGGAGAGACUGGGAGCUGUUGCUGCGAGUUGGAUUUCUGUGGAAAUGUUUGUGUCACCCACUGUGUUUUCAGGCAUACAUGUUUUGUUUGACUUCAUAAAAUGGCCCUGAGAAUACCAUCCUGAGCCUUCCACUGUGAUAAUUUAUACAUUUUUGAAACAACCCUUUUCAAAAUCUCCCUCCUCAGAGGAAAGAGAGUAUUUUUUUUUUCUUUCUUUCUUUCUUUUUUUUUUUUUUCCCUCUUUAUAAAUUCCCUCAAUGUCUGGGAGGGGUCAGACAAGCCGGAGUUCAAAGUGCCGGAGAUCAGAGCACCAUGACACAGUGGCUGGGGAGUUCUGCAUAUAGAUGAUUACUGCUUCUUCCCAAAAGAGUCGUAUAGUUCUGGAAAUCCUUCCCUUCAGGCUGAUAGAAAGGGGACAUUUCAGAGCUGUGUGGUUAGAAUAAAGAGUUCAUACAUGCCUGAGAGGCAGACAGAGGGUAUUAUUCAGAGCUGUAAGAAUUGGUGGCUUUACAGUAUGAUACUGAGCAGUAUGCAAAGGACUGGCAUUAAUUGGAACUACCCAGCGGAGAUGUGGACAUAAUUAUCUAAAGGACCAACUCUCAACAGAUGGACUUAGUCAUGGCAAACACACAGCACAGCUAUCUAAAGAGCAAAAAUGCAAAUGCCCUAGAAGGGAGCCAGCUGAAGUCCUGCGGCUAAUGACAAAAAGGAAGGACCGUUCCGUAACCCAGAAAAAAACCUUCCUUUCCUCUCCAAGCUGUUGCUCCUUGAGCACGUGCGCAGUCGUGGCUGCAUCCAGUUCCCUGUCCUCGUCGCUGCGGUGCGGGCUGCCGACGGGUGCUGCCGCCAGACAUCACCCUGCGCCCAGAGGGAGGGCAGGCAGGGGGGGAGAGGGCUUGGCACCAGCCCCAGCCCCCGGGGAUGCCGUGGGUCCCUGCCCAGGGGAUGGCUGGGGAAGGGGAGAGGGCAGAGAGCGAGGAAAUGAAGCCCCGAGCAAGCAGGGAGGACAGUCCCGGCCAUGCCGAAUGCACGCGAUGGAGAAGCAGCAGUGCCGAGAGGAAAGUUAAGCAAAUUUGCCCUCUGCCAUCUGCUUCCUCCCUGCUUCCAGUGAAGAUCCUAACCCUAACUCACCAUCUAGUCAUCAAGAGGCAAAGUCACAGAGCAAUCUGACUCUGUGAU